rnacentral:sRNA from 1 species
CUAGGGUUCAUCGCGAUUGGGUUCUCCCUCCUAGCUGCUGAUUUCGCGAAGAAGGAAGAUGCGAUUUAGGGUUCCUAACGGUUGAUGGUUGCAGGCAAUGAUGAUGAAGAUGAAUGGGUGGUGGCGCGUUGCACUGUGCGGCAGUGGCGGCGCGGUGAUGAUGGUAGCGGCGCGAAGUGUGUGUCAUGGAGAUUGAAGGCUUCACGGCGGCUUGUACUUCUUGGUUAAGAGACUCAUUUCAAACACUUUUAAAAUGAGGGAUUGAAUUGACAUUAUGCAACAAAAUUGGGG